rnacentral:pre_miRNA from 1 species
GGUACUUGAAGAAAUGGUUUACCGUCCCACAUACAUUUUGCAUAUGUAUGUGGGACGGUAAACCGCUUCUUGGUAUC